rnacentral:rRNA from 1 species
UACAGAGGUCUCAAGCGUUGUUCGGAUUCAUUGGGCGUAAAGGGUGCGUAGGUGGCGCCGUAAGUCAGGUGUGAAAUUUCGGAGCUUAACUCCGAAACUGCAUUUGAUACUGCGGUGCUUGAGGACUGGAGAGGAGACUGGAAUUUACGGUGUAGCAGUGAAAUGCGUAGAGAUCGUAAGGAAGACCAGUGGCGAAGGCGGGUCUCUGGA